rnacentral:lncRNA from 1 species
GGAACGCAUCGGCGGCAGAACACUCAAGCGGCUGGUUGUUGAGAGCACGCCAGCUGAAGAGCACCCCUGCACACUGGCAGGCCAUCCACAGGUGUCAGAAACUCAGCUCAGCUGGAAGAAACUUGAUGUACCAGGUAUCAGAGUAGCAAGUAAAGCCACAAGCCAAAAAUGAAAGAGAAUCUUUUAAGUGCUUAUCGUGAUGGUGUAAGUAAUUGUCCAAAAGAAACGCCGAUUCCUUCUGUUCCAUUUUUACCUGUGGAUUGUGGAUUGAAAUAACCA